rnacentral:rRNA from 1 species
CCAACCUACCCUUACAACGAGGAAGAACGUAACCCGGACGAAAGUACGGACUAAUACUCCAUAAUACAGGGAUCCCGCAUGGAAUAUUUGUUAAAGAUUUAUCGGUUGAAGAUGGCAUGCGUUCCAUUAGCUAGUUGGUGAGGUAACGGCUCACCAAGGCAACGAUGGAUAGGGGAACUGAGAGGUUUAUCCCCCACACUGGUACUGAGACGCGGACCAGACUCCUACGGGAGGCAGCAGUGAGGAAUAUUGGUCAAUGGAGGCAACUCUGAACCAGCCACGUCCGCGUGAAGGAUGACGGCCCUACGGGUUGUAAACUUCUUUUGUAAGGGAAUAAAGUUUAGUACGUGUACUAUUUUGCAUGUACCUUACGAAUAAGGAUCGGCUAACUCCGUGCCAGCAGCAGC